UACGGGGGGGGCAAGCGUUGUUCGGAAUUACUGGGCGUAACGAGCUCGUAGGUGGUUUGUCGCGUUGUUCGUGAAAACUCACAGCUUAACUGUGGGCGUGCGGGCGAUACGGGCAGACUGGAGUACUGCAGGGGAGACUGGAAUUCCUGGUGUAGCGGUGGAAUGCGCAGAUAUCAGGAGGAACACCGGUGGCGAAGGCGGGUCUCUGGGCAGUAACUGACGCUGAGGAGCGAAAGCGUGGGGAGCGAACAGG
rnacentral:rRNA from 1 species